AGAGUUUGAUCCUGGCUCAGAGCGAACGCUGGCGGCAGGCUUAACACAUGCAAGUCGAGCGGACCUUUCGGGGUCAGCGGCGGACGGGUGAGUAACGCGUGGGAACGUGCCUUCCGGUUCGGAAUAACCCUGGGAAACUAGGGCUAAUACCGGAUACGCCCUUAUGGGGAAAGGUUUACUGCCGGAAGAUCGGCCCGCGU
rnacentral:rRNA from 1 species